rnacentral:misc_RNA from 1 species
GAUGAAGAACGCAGCGAAACGCUAUAAGUAAUGUGAAUUGCAGAAUCCAGUGAAUCAUCGAAUCUUUGAACGCACAUUGCGCCCGCCAGCAUUCUGGCGGGCAUGCCUGUUCGAGCGUCAUUUCAACCCUCGACCUCCCCUUGGGGAGGUCGGCGUUGGGGACCGGCAGCACACCGCCGGCCCUGAAAUGGAGUGGCGGCCCGUCCGCGGCGACCUCUGCGCAGUAAUACAGCUCGCACCGGGACCCCGACGCGGCCACGCCGUAAAACACCCAACUUCUGAACGUUGACCUCGAAUCAGGUAGGACUACCCGCUGAACUUAAGCAUAUCAAUAAGCGGAGGA